rnacentral:rRNA from 1 species
AACGAACGCUGGCGGCAGGCUUAACACAUGCAAGUCGAACGCUCGUAGCAAUGCGGGAGUGGCAGACGGGUGAGUAACGCGUGGGAACAUACCCUCCGGUUCGGAAUAGCUCAGGGAAACUUGGAUUAAUACCGGAUACGGCUGAGAGGCGAAAGAUUUAUCGCCGGAGGAUUGGCCCGCGUUCGAUUAGCUUGUUGGUGAGGUAACGGCUCACCAAGGCGAUGAUCGAUAGCUGGUCUGAGAGGAUGAUCAGCCACAUUGGGACUGAGACACGGCCCAAACUCCUACGGGAGGCAGCAGUGGGGAAUAUUGGACAAUGGGCGCAAGCCUGAUCCAGCCAUGCCGCGUGAGUGAUGACGGCCUUAGGGUUGUAAAGCUCUUUCGCUCGGGAC